rnacentral:pre_miRNA from 1 species
AUUGUGCUCCCUCCGAUCCAUAUUAGUUGUCAAAAUAUUACAUGUAUCUAGACGCUUUUUAGGCAUAGAUACAUCCAUAUUUGGGCAAAUUUGAGACAAUUAAUAUGGAUCGGAGGGAGUACAUU